rnacentral:rRNA from 1 species
UAAGAAUAUUCCGCAAUGGACGAAAGUCUGACGGAGCGACGCCGCGUGGAUGAAGAAGGCCGGAAGGUUGUAAAAUCCUUUUGCUGAUGAAGAAUAAGUGUGGUAGGGAAUGACCGCAUGAUGACAUUAGUCGGUGAAUAAGCCCCGGCUAACUACGUGCCAGCAGCCGCGGUAACACGUAGGGGGCAAGCGUUGUUCGGAAUUAUUGGGCGUAAAGGGCAUGUAGGCGGUUUCGUAAGCCUGGUGUGAAAUCCUGCAGCUUAACUGUAGAAUUGCAUUGGGUACUGCGAGACUUGAAUCACAGAGGGGAAACUAGAAUUCCAGGUGUAGGGGUGGAAUCUGUAGAUAUCUGGAAGAAUACCGGUGGCGAAGGCGGGUUUCUAGCUGAUGAUUGACGCUGAGGUGCGAAAGUGCGGGGAGCAAAC